GACGUAGGGUGCAAGCGUUGUCCGGAUUUAUUGGGCGUAAAGAGCUCGUAGGCGGCUCGUCGCGUCGACCGUGAAAACCUGCCGCUUAACGGUGGGCUUGCGGUCGAUACGGGUGGGCUAGAGUGUGGUAGGGGAGACUGGAAUUCCUGGUGUAGCGGUGAAAUGCGCAGAUAUCAGGAGGAACACCGGUGGCGAAGGCGGGUCUCUGGGCCAAUACUGACGCUGAGGAGCGAAAGCAUGGGGAGCAAACAGG
rnacentral:rRNA from 1 species